GGAUAAUGAUCGAUGAGUUUCUUAAUUGAUAUCUGUAAAGUUUCUCUCCGAAACUCGAUAUCGAUAUCCGUUCAAACAGAUGCUUUAAGACUUCUCUUUAGUUGUUCACUGACUUGGAUGUUUCAGAUAACUUAAAAGGGAUGGGACAUUAAAAUUUGUUACUGAAGAUCAUAAAGGGAAAAAUUGGUCUAGUGUAAGACAAAUGUCGGAUUCUGUAAUGCUAAAGACCAAUUCAACUGCUCUUUUAGUAGUAUGUUUCGCUGGGUAUGCUCAAGAUGCUUGAAAGUUAUCAUAAUUGCACAUGACUCUCGAUGAAUAGUACUACAUGUGCAGUGGAUGGAAAAUGAAGGAAAUUGGCUUUCAUGGUUCCAAAGAAUGUGCAUGGUGAAGGUAUACACCCUUUUAGAUCAUGCAGAGAUGUUUCAUAACAACCAGUUUUGGCCUCGAAUCUCUAUAUUUGUGUCAAGGACUUUACUAAACGUUGAUGGUUCAUAACAACCUGUAAUGCAAGCUUCGAUCAUGCAGAGAUG